AACUCACCCGGUCCGGACACUGGAAGGAUUGACAGAUUAAAAGCUCUUUCUUGAUUCAGUGGGUGGUGGUGCAUGGCCGUUCUUAGUUGGUGGAGUGAUUUGUCUGGUUAAUUCCGAUAACGAACGAGACUCUAGCCUGCUAACUAGUUCGCCGGCAGCUCUUGUCGCGCGGCGCCGCUUCGGCGGCAAACUUCUUAGAGGGACAGGUGGCGUUUAGCCACACGAAGUAGAGCAAUAACAGGUCUGUGAUGCCCUUAGAUGUCCGGGGCCGCACGCGCGCUACACUGAAAGAAUCAACGUGGAUGCCCACCUGCUCCGAGAGGAGUGGGAAACCCGAUGAAUCUCUUUCGUGAUGGGGAUUGGGGCUUGUAAUUGUUCCCCAUGAACGAGGAAUUCCCAGUAAGCGUCAGUCAUCAGCUGGCGCUGAUUACGUCCCUGCCCUUUGUACACACCGCCCGUCGCUACUACCGAUUGAAUGGUUUAGUGAGACCCUCGGACUGGAGUCCGUCCGCCGCUUUCGGGUGGUGGAUGGGGACGGAAAGA
rnacentral:rRNA from 1 species